rnacentral:rRNA from 1 species
AGAGUUUGAUCAUGGCUCAGAUUGAACGCUGGCGGCGUGCUUAACACAUGCAAGUCGAACGCGAAAGUGGCUUCGGCCGCGAGUAGAGUGGCGCACGGGUGAGUAACGCGUGGAUAAUCUGCCUCUGCAAUCGGAAUAACGACUGGAAACGGUCGCUAAUACCGGAUACGCUUAAGUUUUACCUCUUAAGGAAAGAUGACCUCUAUUUAUAAGUUAUCGUGCAGAGAUGAGUCCGCGUCCCAUUAGCUUGUUGGCGGGGUAACGGCCCACCAAGGCGACGAUGGGUAGCCGAUUUAAGAGGAUGAUCGGCCACAUUGGAACUGAAACACGGUCCAAACUCCUACGGGAGGCAGCAGUGGGGAAUAUUGCGCAAUGGGCGAAAGCCUGACGCAGCGACGCCGCGUGAGGGAUGAAGGUCUUCGGAUCGUAAACCUCUGUCAGAAGGGAAAAAUGUACAGUGCCCCAAUCACACUUGUAUUGAUGGUACCUUCAGAGGAAGCACCGCUACUUCCGUGCCAGCAGCCGCGGUAAUACGGAGGGUGCAAAGCCGUUAAUCGGAAUUCUGGGCGUAAAGCGCGCGUANGUUGUUUGUAAGUCAAAAGGUGNAAUCCCACGGNUUAACCCGNGGAACUGCCUUUGAUACUUGCUNACUUGGAUCCGGNAGAGGCAGCGGNAUUCCAGGNGUNNGAGGAAAUCC